GGAGAGAUGGGUGAGUGGCUGAAACCACCGGUUUGCUAAACCGACAUACGCUGCAAAGUGUAUCGAGGGUUCGAAUCCCUCUCCCUCCGCCA
rnacentral:tRNA from 2 species